UGUACUCAGGUUUACCAGUGUACUCCAGUGUGUGAACCGCUGCAUGUACUCAGGUUUACCAGUGUACUCCAGUGUGUGAACCGCUGCAUGUACUCAGGUUUACCAGUGUACUCCAGUGUGUGAACCGCUGCAUGUACUCAGGUUUACCAGUGUACUCCAGUGUGUGAACCGCUGCAUGUACUCAGGUUUACCAGUGUACUCCAGUGUGUGCACCGCUGCAUGUACUCAGGUUUACCAGUGUACUCCAGUGUGUGCACCGCUGCAUGUACUCAGGUUUACCAGUGUACUCCAGUGUGUGAACCGCUGCAUGUACUCAGGUUUACCAGUGUACUCCAGUGUGUGUACCG